AUCCUUUUCUGGUUCAUAAGCAUGAUAAUUGGGUAUUCACGCCAUUGUGUGAGAUGUGUCUCCCUUAAACCUUGUUACGACGUCAGUACAUUACCCCUCUGUCA